rnacentral:lncRNA from 1 species
ACUUUUAUAUUUAUUUAUUCUUUUGUUGUUUCUUAUCAUACUCUAAUAAAGCUUAGUUCGCUAUUGAGGCCUAUUUGACGCUAUUAGAUAAAAAUAGACUUACAGUAAAAGCAUAUAAUAGGGAUAUGCUUCUGCGUUCUCCCGUGGGACCGCAGAAAAUAUAUCGUAACCGACUUAUCGUGGAGAACGCAGAAAAUAUAUCGUAACCGACUUAUCGCGAAAUGCAAUAUUACGUGCAAAAAUAAAUAGAAUAUUUAUUUAUCGUACUUUCUUAUCUUAAGUAACGCAACCUCUUCGCAAUACCAAACAAAGGCUAAAUGACUAGAGACAGUUAAGAUGGAUUUAUUUGUUUUUUUAAAUUACAUAUACAUGCAAGCCAUUUUUCGUAAUGGGUCAAUAGUUUUUCAGCUACUGACUGUCCCUAGAGCAAGUGGCAAAGAGCUUGGUGGUUGGUACCCGAGACUCAAGUUCGAAUCUUACUUGAUUCACAUAUCCAGCUAAAUUUAUUUCUAAAAUGAAAUAAACGAAGCGGAUAGCAUGCUACCUAUCUCUCUCAAAAAAAAAAAAGUUUUUCAGCUAAUCAGCAUAAAUAAUUCUUAAAAUUUUAAAAUUGAAAAAUAUUAUAACAAAAAAAAAAAUCAAAAAAGAAAACUCAUAUAGUCUUUUAUACAUUAUAAAAACUAAUUCUUUUUAUUAAUAUUUUUUAAUUUUCAGUAUUU